GACGAACGCUGGCGGCGUGCUUAACACAUGCAAGUCGAACGGAAAGGCCCUGCUUUUGUGGGGUGCUCGAGUGGCGAACGGGUGAGUAACACGUGAGUAACCUGCCCUUGACUUUGGGAUAACUUCAGGAAACUGGGGCUAAUACCGGAUAGGAGCUCCUGCUGCAUGGUGGGGGUUGGAAAGUUUCGGCGGUUGGGGAUGGACUCGCGGCUUAUCAGCUUGUUGGUGGGGUAGUGGCUUACCAAGGCUUUGACGGGUAGCCGGCCUGAGAGGGUGACCGGCCACAUUGGGACUGAGAUACGGCCCAGACUCCUACGGGAGGCAGCAGUGGGGAAUAUUGCACAAUGGGCGGAAGCCUGAUGCAGCAACGCCGCGUGCGGGAUGACGGCCUUCGGGUUGUAAACCGCUUUCGCCUGUGACGAAGCGUGAGUGACGGUAAUGGGUAAAGAAGCACCGGCUAACUACGUGCCAGCAGCCGCGGUGAUACGUAGGGUGCGAGCGUUGUCCGGAUUUAUUGGGCGUAAAGGGCUCGUAGGUGGUUGAUCGCGUCGGAAGUGUAAUCUUGGGGCUUAACCCUGAGCGUGCUUUCGAUACGGGUUGACUUGAGGAAGGUAGGGGAGAAUGGAAUUCCUGGUGGAGCGGUGGAAUGCGCAGAUAUCAGGAGGAACACCAGUGGCGAAGGCGGUUCUCUGGGCCUUUCCUGACGCUGAGGAGCGAAAGCGUGGGGAGCGAACAGGCUUAGAUACCCUGGUAGUCCACGCUGUAAACGGUGGGUACUAGGUGUGGGGUCCAUUCCACGGGUUCCGUGCCGUAGCUAACGCUUUAAGUACCCCGCCUGGGGAGUACGGCCGCAAGGCUAAAACUCAAAGGAAUUGACGGGGCCCCGCACAAGCGGCGGAGCAUGCGGAUUAAUUCGAUGCAACGCGUAGAACCUUACCUGGGUUUGACAUGGAUCGGGAGCGCUCAGAGAUGGGUGUGCCUCUUUUGGGGUCGGUUCACAGGUGGUGCAUGGCUGUCGUCAGCUCGUGUCGUGAGAUGUUGGGUUAAGUCCCGCAACGAGCGCAACCCUUGUUCACUGUUGCCAGCACGUUAUGGUGGGGACUCAGUGGAGACCGCCGGGGUCAACUCGGAGGAAGGUGGGGAUGACGUCAAGUCAUCAUGCCCCUUAUGUCCAGGGCUUCACGCAUGCUACAAUGGCUGGUACAGAGAGUGGCGAGCCUGUGAGGGUGAGCGAAUCUCGGAAAGCCGGUCUCAGUUCGGAUUGGGGUCUGCAACUCGAUCUCAUGAAGUCGGAGUCGCUAGUAAUCGCAGAUCAGCAACGCUGCGGUGAAUACGUUCCCGGG
rnacentral:rRNA from 1 species